AACGAACGCUGGCGGCAUGCCUAACACAUGCAAGUCGAACGCUCGCCUUCGGGCGGGAGUGGCGGACGGGUGAGUAACGCGUGGGAACCUGCCCUUCGGUGCGGAACAACGCCGGGAAACUGGCGCUAAUACCGCAUGCGCCCCUUCGGGGGGAAAGAUUCAUCGCCGAGGGAUGGGCCCGCGUCGGAUUAGGUAGUUGGGGGGGUAAAGGCCUACCAAGCCUGCGAGCCGUAGCUGGUCUGAGAGGAUGAUCAGCCACACUGGGACUGAGACACGGCCCAGACUCCUACGGGAGGCAGCAGUGGGGAAUAUUGGACAAUGGGCGCAAGCCUGAUCCAGCAAUGCCGCGUGAGUGAUGAAGGCCUUAGGGUUGUAAAGCUCUUUCACCGGGGAAGACGAUGACGGUACCCGGAGAAGAAGCCCCGGCUAACUUCGUGCCAGCCGCCGCUGUAAAAC
rnacentral:rRNA from 1 species